GCUGUCACUUUUGAUCAAUUUAAUGCAUCCUUGCUAAAUAAAAGUAUUAAUUUCUUUCAAAAAAACAAAACAAACAAACAAACAAACAAAAAAAAAAACUUACUGACCCCAAUCUUAAUGGUAACAAUAAAAGUGAAUGAGAGUAAUGCUAUGGACAAUGUCCUUUUCAUUUUAGAUUAAGUAUUCUUCUCAAAAUCAUUGUAUAGGUUCCAUCAUGACUGCUAUGGGGCAUGUUGUCACAAAGAUUGUGUUAAUUUAACUAUAUUGAAGUAUAAUUUUUUUUGCUAGGCAUGAUCAAUAGCAUGUGUAGUCUAAACUUAUAAUAUAUAAAAAUAAUAAAAAACCCUGAGUACAUACAUUUUUGCUUUCAGAAGCUGUGUAACAGCAACAGGCAUAAAGUAACAUUAGAGAUGGCAGAGAGAUGAAUAAUAUCAUAUCAUGUGAGUCUUAGAGGAUCAGAUCUGUCUGGGUCACUGGCUCAAAUACACAAGCUCUUCCUCUGCCUGUCAGUCAGUCAGUCAGUCAGAGACUCUGAGAGAGUUUGUGCAGCAUCAGCCUCUGGGAGAGCGCCACAACAGCUGAAAUUAGACAUGGAUCCCAUAUUGAUCGGCAUAGUGACUGCCAACACAAGCUUAACUGUUGUCUACUGGAACUUUCUUCUGUCUCAGGUGUUCUGCAAGAAGAUCAAGGAUGGACCCAAACCUGAGAAAAUUACGGUCUAAAUCAAGGACUUGGUUGUGACCCCAACAAUGAAGAAGAGGAAGAAGAAAUAAAAUCUGCCAGAGGGAAAGAAGGAUGGAUGAGGAAGACAAAAUAUGAACAAAGGAGGAACCGACUACAUUUGACCCAGAAGUGGACGGACAGGAAUUCAACCAAGAUUUAAAUUCUCUGUAUCUGACAAUUCAUGAGGUUAAAAAGGUGUUACUGAAUUCAUUUAUGAACAACCCUCUCUCUCUUUCUUUCUUUCUUUCUUUCUUUCAUCCAUUAGUCCAUCUAAUCUUUCUUUGUAAGUGCUGCUCAUUGUAAUUUACCCAAAAAAUACAAAGCUUAUUAUGAGCUUUAAAGUCUGUUUAAAAAAAUUGUUUUUAUUCAUAUUUUUUUGCUAGAUUUAGCAAAAUAGAUGCACAGAUUUUGUCUAUAUCUGUCUUACUCUUUUGCAUGUGUCUUAUUCCUGCAAUAAAUGAUUACAACAUA